AAAAAAAGGAAGAAAGAUGAACUCCUACCUAGAAGACAUGAACAAUAAAAUACAUUUAUAUAAAAAUUUCAUCCGUCAACCCUAUUUACACAACAAUGGCUCAAACGCGUGCCCUUAAACCAUUCAUGAGUCAUUCCCUUUCUUGAGUUGUCACUUCACAAAUUAGUAUAAUACCAGAGGGAGUUAUCUCAAGAAAGUCUAUACCUUUGGGGCGUGCCAAGGACUUCU
rnacentral:misc_RNA from 1 species